rnacentral:lncRNA from 1 species
GUAUGUAUUAAUCUUUGGUUUGUUUUUUCUUGUACGCAGCCAUCAGAAAAUAAGACAAAAGCCUGGUUAAAGAUUAACACAAGAUCCAGAUUAAAUCCAUCACCCAGAUUUCUCAGAAAUGGGUGGUGUGAUUUCAGUGUAAGCUGCCUGGCUCAAGGCUCGCCCCCAGCUGGACGCUGCAGACUGGUCCUCAGGGACACAGACAGACUCUCUGUUCGAAUCCGUAUUGAUCCAAGAUGCUGAUGAAAGAACCCGCUGGUCACCUUGAGCCCUGCGUGUCCCGCGGCAACACUGCAGCCCCCCGUGUCACUUUAGUCAGACCAAGAGGCUCCGGGGCACAAGAGGAGCGAGCGAGUGAGCGGAGGGUCCUGGUGGCAGAUGGGCAGGAGUAUCAGGGAUUGACUAAUCCCAAAUCUGCCGUCUCCUCACCACAGCGAAACCAGGGGAGAGGCGCGAGCCAGCUGCCACAUCCACGCCUUUCAUGCUCGUCUGCACACAACAGCUGCACCAGGCCUGCCUGCUUGCUUCUAAAUUAUUAAACAUCUUUUUAGUUUGUUCCAGAUGCAGAGCCCGAUGUGCUUACCGAGGCCUUUGUGCAUUUUACGUACCGUUCCUUUUCCCCUCCUCUCAUCAGAAUGCUGUUUGUAAAAGUCAUUAUCCCAUCUGUGACGCCAGUUUGGACAAAACAGCCCAAGACGGAUCCAGCCCGUUCCUCCUUUCCGGGACAGUUUGAUGGUGAUGAUGGAGGGCGGCAGGGGUUUAUGCUUCUGCCUCCACCUUUUGCAUCCCUGCAGUUUGGACAAAAUGGGCUAAGACAGAUCCAGCUGAUUCCUCCUUUCCCAGGACAAUCUGACAGAGAUGAUGGCGGGCUGCAGGGGUUCAUGCUUCUGUCUCCACCUGUAAGCCGUCUUGGUCUCCGCUUCGGGGCGGCAACAGGAGUUUUGCAAAAAGCAAUCCAACAUGGAGCAGGCAUUGAUGUUGAGGAAACACAAAGGCGGUGUGGUUGUUUUGAGCGAGCUGGCAUGAGCGCUGCUGCUGGAUUGAAGUUAAUAAGCGUGCGAGAGGAGAAGAAGAGCGUCUCUGGAUCUCCAGAUGAGUCUCUCCACGGCUCAAACACACCAGAGACGAGCUGGAUCCUCCACUGGAGCCGCUGCACCUGUUGUUUUCAGGAGCUGGAGGAAGACAGACACUCAUGCACACAAGACCGUAUGGAGCCAUGAGAACAGGCAAUGUGUUUUCUUCUUGAGCCAAGGAAAAAAAA